rnacentral:rRNA from 1 species
GAUGAACGCUGGCGGCGUGCUUAACACAUGCAAGUCGAACGAAGCACUUUACGACGAUCCCUUCGGGGUGACAAUAUAGUGACUGAGUGGCGGACGGGUGAGUAACGCGUGGGUAACCUGCCUUAUACUGGGGGAUAACAGUUGGAAACGACUGCUAAUACCGCAUAAGCGCACGAGGUCGCAUGACCUUGUGUGAAAAACUCCGGUGGUAUAAGAUGGACCCGCGUCUGAUUAGCUAGUUGGUGAGGUAAUGGCUCACCAAGGCGACGAUCAGUAGCCGACCUGAGAGGGGUGACCGGCCACAUUGGGACUGAGACACGGCCCAAACUCCUACGGGAGGGCAGCAGUGGGGAAUAUUGCACAAUGGGCGAAAGCCUGAUGCAGCGACGCCGCGUGAGCGAAGAAGUAUUUCGGUAUGUAAAGCUCUAUCAGCAGGGAAGAAAAAAUAGAGGUACCUGACUAAGAAGCUCCGGCGUAAAUACGUAGCCAGCAGCCGUAC